rnacentral:lncRNA from 13 species
CCACCUGGAAAAGGCUUGCCUAUGCCUGUGUUAUGCUCCCAAUAUCUGUACCUGCGUCAGGCUGCCCGGUAUUCCUGUAGCUCUCUCAGAUCUCCCCACUGGAGUCUCCUGUUCACCUAGACCACACCUACAGUGAUGCCCUGAUGAGAAAGAGAAGCGUUGCAUUCAAGAGGAAUUGGGCAGCUGAAACAACUGUUUCGAGGAUUAGAGAGCUAUGCAAGGGAGUCUGGGAAAGUGAGUACAGUUGACCCUUGAACGACAUGUUUUGAACAACGUGAAUUUGAA